UCGCCCCGCACCCUCACCCUCACCCUCACCCGUCCUCUAGGGCUGCUCCAGAGCGGGUUCCCUCCAGCCUCCUUCACCUGUUCUGGUCCCACCGGAAGCGCAGUGGCCAGAGAGAGAGGGAGAGGGUGGGGGGCAGGUUAGCUCUCUCCAGGCACAUCCAGGCAACUUGCCCUGGACCAGAGCUGGUCGCCCUGCGCCCCAGCGUCUGGGUGCAGUCGCCUUUGGCCCUUCCCUUUGUGGGAGGGCGGUGGUGUGCAGCGAGGAGGCAUGGCGAUGGUGAGGAGGAAGAGGCACGCUGAGAGAAGGGGUGCGAAGAUUCAGUAACUUCAAGAACCAGCGGAAAGGCAACUCCAGAGUUAAACCUCUCUAUCCAGUUCCUAUAUAAUCCAGACGAAAACUUGCAAAUGGAACAUGGCUUGAUCAAUCAGCUGUCAGUCACUAUGCAUUUACUGAGGGCUUGAUGAAUAUUCCAGAGCAUCACCAGGCUCAGAUGUUCAGCCCAGCUGCUCUCCAGCCCGAAUGCCCUUCUAAGCUGAGAUACUAUGACCUACUUUUCCCUCCCCUUUAA